CCCUGUGUGGCUCAGUUGGUAGAGCGUGGUGCUUGCAACACCAGGGUUGUGGGUUCGAUUCCCACGGGGA
rnacentral:tRNA from 1 species